rnacentral:siRNA from 1 species
GGGUGUCGCCUGCAAUUUACCCA